rnacentral:rRNA from 1 species
CAAUUAUACCGUGAAACUGCGAAUGGCUCAUUAAAUCAGUUAUCGUUUAUUUGAUAGUACCUUACUACUUGGAUAACCGUGGUAAUUCUAGAGCUAAUACAUGCUAAAAACCCCGACUUCGGAAGGGGUGUAUUUAUUAGAUAAAAAACCAACGCCCUUCGGGGCUUCUUGGUGAUUCAUGAUAACUUUACGGAUCGCAUGGCCUUGCGCCGGCGACGGUUCAUUCAAAUUUCUGCCCUAUCAACUUUCGAUGGUAAGGUAUUGGCUUACCAUGGUUUCAACGGGUAACGGGGAAUUAGGGUUCGAUUCCGGAGAGGGAGCCUGAGAAACGGCUACCACAUCCAAGGAAGGCAGCAGGCGCGCAAAUUACCCAAUCCCGACACGGGGAGGUAGUGACAAUAAAUACUGAUACAGGGCUCUUUUGGGUCUUGUAAUUGGAAUGAGUACAAUUUAAACCUCUUAACGAGGAACAAUUGGAGGGCAAGUCUGGUGCCAGCAGCCGCGGUAAUUCCAGCUCCAAUAGCGUAUAUUAAAGUUGUUGCAGUUAAAAAGCUCGUAGUUGAAACUUGGGUCUGGCUGGCAGGUCCGCCUCACCGCGUGUACUUGUCCGGCCGGGCCUUCCUUCUGGAGAACCUCAUGCCCUUCACUGGGCGUGUUGGGGACCAGGACUUUUACUUUGAAAAAAUUAGAGUGUUCAAAGCAGGCCUUUGCUCGAAUACGUUAGCAUGGAAUAAUAGAAUAGGACGUGCGGUCCUAUUUUGUUGGUUUCUAGGACCGCCGUAAUGAUUAAUAGGGACAGUCGGGGGCAUCAGUAUUCAAUUGUCAGAGGUGAAAUUCUUGGAUUUAUUGAAGACUAACUACUGCGAAAGCAUUUGCCAAGGAUGUUUUCAUUAAUCAGUGAACGAAAGUUAGGGGAUCGAAGACGAUCAGAUACCGUCGUAGUCUUAACCGUAAACUAUGCCGACUAGGGAUCGGGCGAUGUUCUUUUUCUGACUCGCUCGGCACCUUACG